GACGAACGCUGGCGGCGUGCCUAAUACAUGCAAGUCGAGCGGGCCUCCGGAGGUGCUUGCACCUCCGGAAGGCCAGCGGCGGACGGGUGAGUAACACGUGGGCAACCUGCCUUUGAGGCCGGGAUAACACCGGGAAACCGGUGCUAAUACCGGAUGCGUCCCCUUUCGCGCCUGCGAGAGGGGAGAGAGACGGUCCUUAAGGCCGUCGCUCAAAGAGGGGCCCGCGGCGCAUUAGCUGGUUGGUGGGGUAAGGGCCUACCAAGGCGACGAUGCGUUGCCGACCUGAGAGGGUGAUCGGCCACACUGGGACUGAGACACGGCCCAGACUCCUGCGGGAGGCAGCAGUAGGGAAUCAUCCGCAAUGGGCGAAAGCCUGACGGUGCAACGCCGCGUGAGUGAGGAAGGUUUUCGGAUCGUAAAGCUCUGUUGUGAGGGAAGAACAGCUUCCGGAGGAAAUGCCGGAGGUUUGCCGGUACCUCACCAGAAAGCCCCGGCUAACUACGUGCCAGCCGCCGCCGUAAGAC
rnacentral:rRNA from 1 species